rnacentral:lncRNA from 1 species
ACACCACUCCUGCCCACCUUCAACAAUACAUCUGUGACCUCCCUCCUUCCAUCUCUGGCACCAGUUCAUUUUCCACUUGCUGCAAUGGCUCUGUUAGCACUGAACUGGUUGAGCUACAUCUUACAACCAAGCAGCCUCUGAUCCUGCUUGGCAGGCUGCCAUGACCACAGAAUUUGAGGCAUUGGCAGCCAAUAAUACAUGGUCCUUGGUUCCUCUUCCCCCUGGCAAGAA